CUGGUUAUCUGGAUUGAAGGGGAAUUUUGAUGUGCUAUUCCCUAUGGCCAAUUCAAGAAUGGCUACACUUUUUCAAUGGUAGAAGAAAUGGCGCUGUUACUUUCGCCUCUUUUUUGGAAGCUCUGUCCCCUCUCCAAAGGUUCUCAUUUUCAACCCCUCUUUUACUUUUUUUUAUUUGUGUAAUUUACAAGGUUCAACAUGGAUGGCGUGUUGCAUUUUAUGCUGUUGUUCAAAUUUUGACUAGCCUUGGUUUUUCUCCCCUGUAUUCUUUGUUUCCAAUCAAGUAGGAAGUCUGGUCCUUCGGCAAUUAGGUAUCAAAUGCCAGAGGAUCCAGCGAAGAUCAUUACAAGUUCAGUACCCCCUUUUUAUUCUGUUAAAAUCAAGGAAGCAG
rnacentral:lncRNA from 1 species